rnacentral:rRNA from 1 species
AGUUGGUGGAUUGAUUUGUCUGGUUGAUUCCGUUAACGAACGAGACCUCAACCUACUAACUAGGUAACAUCUCUACGGAGCUGUUACACUUCUUAGAGGGACAUUGCGUUUUUAGCGUACGGAGGUGUGAGGCAAUAACAGGU